rnacentral:rRNA from 1 species
UGCAAGUCGAGCGGCAGCGCGGGGGCACCCUGGCGGCGAGCGGCGAACGGGUGAGUAAUACAUCGGAACGUGUCCCGUAGUGGGGGAUAGCCCGGCGAAAGCCGGAUUAAUACCGCAUAUGCUCUACGGAGGAAAGUGGGGGACUCGCAAGGGCCUCACGCUAUGGGAGCGGCCGAUGUCCGAUUAGCUUGUUGGCGGGGUAAUGGCCCACCAAGGCGACGAUCGGUAGCUGGUCUGAGAGGAUGAUCAGCCACACUGGGACUGAGACACGGCCCAGACUCCUACGGGAGGCAGCAGUGGGGAAUUUUGGACAAUGGGGGAAACCCUGAUCCAGCCAUGCCGCGUGCGGGAAGAAGGCCUUCGGGUUGUAAACCGCUUUUGGUCGGAAAGAAAAGGCGUCCUCUAAUACGGGGCGCUCUUGACGGUACCGGCAGAAUAAGCACCGGCUAACUACGUGCCAGCAGCCGCGGUAAUACGUAGGGUGCGAGCGUUAAUCGGAAUUACUGGGCGUAAAGCGUGCGCAGGCGGUUCUCCAAGUCCGUUGUGAAGCCCCGG